AACCGAAGUUUCAACGGACUAGAUGCAGAUUGCAUCGUAAAUUUAAUGGUGGUGAGUUAGACUUGUGUCUGUGCUCUUUGGCAUCCAGGUUGUUUGAUAUUGGUAGAAGAACCUGUCUGGUGCUUGCAAAUGAGCUACAUAAAUGAAGUAUUUAGAUUUAGACCUCAUUUUGGCAGCAGAAAUGAAGCAAUGCUGGAUCAAUGAGGGAAACGCAGCACAAUGAGACUGUAUAUUGGGGUUACUUUGUUAUAUAUAUUUGAGGGUUACUUAGGAGAAUCAAUGGGUUUCUCCCAUAUGCUUUAGAAAUUAUAUAG
rnacentral:lncRNA from 1 species